UACGUAGGGGGCUAGCGUUGUCCGGAUUUAUUGGGCGUAAAGAGCGUGUAGGCGGCCAGGUAGGUCUGCUGUGAAAACUCGAGGCUCAACCUCGAGACGUCGGCGGAAACCAUCUGGCUAGAGUCCGGAAGAGGAGAGUGGAAUUCCUGGUGUAGCGGUGAAAUGCGCAGAUAUCAGGAGGAACACCAAUUGCGAAGGCAGCUCGCUGGGACGUAACUGACGCUGAGACGCGAAAGCGUGGGGAGCAAACAGG
rnacentral:rRNA from 1 species